CCUACGGGAGGCAGCAGUGGGGAAUAUUGGACAAUGGGCGAAAGCCUGAUCCAGCAAUGCCGCGUGAGUGAUGAAGGCCUUAGGGUUGUAAAGCUCUUUUACCAGGGAUGAUAAUGACAGUACCUGGAGAAUAAGCUCCGGCUAACUCCGUGCCAGCAGCCGCGGUAAUACGGAGGGAGCUAGCGUUGUUCGGAAUUACUGGGCGUAAAGCGUGCGUAGGCGGUGAUUCAAGUCAGAGGUGAAAGCCUGGAGCUCAACUCCAGAACGGCCUUUGAAACUAGAUCGCUAGAAUUAUGGAGAGGUAAGUGGAAUUCCGAGUGUAGAGGUGAAAUUCGUAGAUAUUCGGAAGAACACCAGUGGCGAAGGCGACUUACUGGACAUAUAUUGACGCUGAGGUACGAAAGCGUGGGGAGCAAACAGGAUUAGAUACCCUGGUAGUCCACGCCGUAAACGAUGAUAACUAGCUGUUCGGGCUCUCAGAGCUUGAGUGGCGCAGCUACGCAUUAAGUUAUCCGCCGUCGGGUAGGUACGGUCGCGAAGAAUUAAAACUUAAAAUUAGUAAGUUAGUACGGCGUGAGACGUGCCGACGGACGACGACGAGGGAGGUUAGG
rnacentral:rRNA from 1 species